AUUGAACGCUGGCGGCAUGCCUUACACAUGCAAGUCGAACGGCAGCACGGGAGCAAUCCUGGUGGCGAGUGGCGAACGGGUGAGUAAUACAUCGGAACGUGCCCAGUAGUGGGGAGUAACCCGGACGAAGCCGGACUAAUACCGCAUACGACCUACGGGUGAAAGCGAGGGGAGUCGCAAGACCUUGCGCUAUCGGAGCGGCCGAUGU
rnacentral:rRNA from 1 species